UGGGGGAUCGUCUAACGGCAAGACUGUAGACUCUGGAUCUACCUAUCGGGGUUCGAAUCCCUGUCCCCCAGCCA
rnacentral:tRNA from 1 species